ACAGCUUGGCUCUCGCAAAAUCUCUGUCCUCUUCAUUGCUGAACUCUCACGUUCUACUCUCUCUCUCUCUCUCUCUUCAGAUCGCUCCUCUCCGUCUCACUCUCAGUCUUCUCUUGCUCUCUUCUUCAUCCAACUCUCUUCUUUACCCAGAAAUCAUAGUCUUCCUCUCUCUUUCAUUCUGAAAUCCCAAAUAGGGAAACCCCAAUCUCAGAUUCCCCGAAAUCAACCAAAUCUCUAUUGGUCUAACCCUCAAUCUAAAACCCAAAUUUCAUUGACCUAACUCUCGUCUCCACAAUUAGCCGGAUUUACACCGCACAGCCAUGGGCUAGGAACUUGAUGAAGAACAAGCAGCGUCGCCGGUCAUCCUCAGAUGGCAAGAUUUGGGCGAGUUGCCAGAAAACGAGCUGAUUAUUAAGGCUCCCGAAAAGGCGAGAACGGGCGGUGGAAGAUGGUUUGCAGAAGAUUGCUCAAGAACAGCGGUGAAUCUAGGGUUUUGUAGAAGAAUACCCGAUAUCCACUGCUAGUUCCAGGUGAACUGUCGGCGAGAUUGCACAAUUUCAAGAACUCCCACUGCUUAUUUCUAGGGAGUAUCAAGUCUUAAAUCUAUUGGAAUUCACCAGCAAAAGGAAGCGUAUGUCAGUAAUUGUGCAUGACAAAGAUGGGCAAUUAUUACUUUUCUGCAAAGGUGCUGACAGAUAUAACAAACAUUUCUUUGGACUCUGCAAUAGUUCAUCCCCUCUCUCAACCCCCCACCCCAAAGCAUCCUAAACAGGGGGAGAGGAAAGCAUGGAUUUUUGAUCUUUUUUUAUCCUAAACAGGGGGAGAGGAAAGCAUGAAUUUGUGGCCUUAGCGAGUUUGGCAAGAGUUUAUGUGUGAGACUUACUCUUGAAAAGCCUAAACCUAAAAUGAGACUCUUUGAAGGUCUGGUAUUGAUUCUAUUCUCCCUCUGUUCACUAAAUUUUUGUCUUCCCAUAUUUUUCUUCCAAAAUUUUACUUGGA